GGAUUGUUGCUCAGUGGUAGAGCGCUUGCCUAGCAUGCAUGAGGCACUGGGUUCGAUCCCUGGCACCA
rnacentral:tRNA from 1 species